CGGCCCAGACUCCUACGGGAGGCAGCAGUGGGGAAUAUUGGGCAAUGGGCGCAAGCCUGACCCAGCAACGCCGCGUGAAGGAAGAAGGCUUUCGGGUUGUAAACUUCUUUUGUCGGGGACGAGUAGAAGACGGUACCUGGCGAAUAAGCCACGGCUAACUACGUGCCAGCAGCCGCGGUAAUACGUAGGUGGCAAGCGUUGUCCGGAUUUACUGGGUGUAAAGGGCGUGCAGCCGGGCAUGCAAGUCAGAUGUGAAAUCUCAGGGCUUAACCCUGAAACUGCAUUUGAAACUGUAUGUCUUGAGUGCCGGAGAGGUAAUCGGAAUUCCUUGUGUAGCGGUGAAAUGCGUAGAUAUAAGGAAGAACACCAGUGGCGAAGGCGGAUUACUGGACGGUAACUGACGGUGAGGCGCGAAAGCGUGGGGAGCGAACAGGAUUAGAUACCCUGGUAGUCCACGCUGUAAACGAUGGAUACUAGGUGUGCGGGGACUGACCCCCUGCGUGCCGCAGUUAACACAAUAAGUAUCCCACCUGGGGAGUACGAUCGCAAGGUUGAAACUCAAAGGAAUUGACGGGGGCCCGCACAAGCGGUGGAUUAUGUGGUUUAAUUCGAAGCAACGCGAAGAACCUUACCAGGUCUUGACAUCCUGCUAACGAAGUAGAGAUACAUUAGGUGCCCUUCGGGGAAAGCAGAGACAGGUGGUGCAUGGUUGUCGUCAGCUCGUGUCGUGAGAUGUUGGGUUAAGUCCCGCAACGAGCGCAACCC
rnacentral:rRNA from 1 species